UCAGCUGGAUGAGAUGAGGGGGCGUGGCUUAUUCCUCUCAUGCAGACAGAGAAAUAAAAAAAGAAAAAAAAGCUGUGACAUCUUGUCCACAACAGACUCAGAACUGUGGACAACAGUAAAAGAAAACCCUCUGAACUACAGAACUUCCUGCCCAACAAACAGUUUAACUCAUGGAUGGCAUUGUGACUGAAAAGAAUCUCGGACACCUGUGAUAAUUAGAUUGCCAGGAGAGCCCAAUUAAAGGAAAUACUACUAAAGGAAUGAAAGAUUCCUCCGACUUCUCGGCUUCAUAUGGCACCAAGCGAAAUCACCUCCGUACCUCUACCAGAAAAUCUGUCAUCUUCUCAAAGCGACAGGAAGCUAUUAGCAUAAAUUAGCAUGAGACAAGAACCGUGCACAUGGCUCCAAAAGUUAAUGCUCUAAAGCCGUCACAUUCUAAAUGACCAUGUAGCUGGCAGCGCACUUGCCUAACCAUGCUGGAAAGUGUGAAAUUAUUCCAAUUGCCUCGCGAGCAGCAGAAUGCAUGAGUGACACUUGGCAGCUCUGUAAAUCCCAGAGGUACGGUCCAUUCACUGGCAUGCAACAGAAGUUUGACCUUUUCGGCCCAGUGCCAGAGAAGAAAGAGUUGGAUCACAGUUUUGCGCUGUCACUCAAAGGCUGGAGACUUUUUCUAUGGUUUGUCAUCUGCAUCUCAGACGCUACUAAAUAUUUAUGUGUUGUUUCUAAGAGGAAACUUGCAGGCAUGCUGAGCAGAAUAAAGCAGGUGCCCUUCCCCCAUGAUAUUUUUAUAGUGGUGCUCAUAAUAAUAAUAAUAAUGUCCCUUAUGCUAGAGACCUGCUCUUCUGGGAGGUCUCCAUAGACUGUAGACAGACGUGCAGUAUGACUUGUUGACCCACUUUCAAACACUCUCCUAACUGGAGAGGGAAAUUGUUCAUCCUGAUCCUACUGAUUCAUAAAUAUAAUGCCAAAUGUACAGUAUAGACAGAUUGUAUUUUUGUUUUUAUCUUAUUUUUAUUUAUUUUUUAUCUUAAAUGGGAAAUAUAAAUGAAGGACUUAUACUUCUUCUUCCUUCCUGCUGGAUCCUUAGGGUAUGUUCAAACCACGUAAUUCCUGGAAUUAUUCGCUAAGAACAUAAACAUCAGUGUGAAUGGGUUUCUGCGAGACCCAUUCACACUGCGGAAUUCAGCUGCUGAAAUUGUUCAGCACAAAGAAAAAACAUGUUCAUUCUUUGCUUGGAAGUCCGCGAACACUGCAUCACCAUCAAUGGUGAUGGCGCAGUGCCGCGCGGUCCUACCGCCGAAGUAUUUCAGAGGCAGCCACCAGAAUGAAAUCUCCACUCGCGGAAUUCUGUGAGCGGAGAUUCCAUUCACAAUCUGUAGUAUGAACAUACCCUUAUAGAUAUAACUCUUAUUUUUCCCUCUUGUGUUUUGCAGGUUACAUUUUUUACACAGUGUACUU